rnacentral:rRNA from 1 species
UACAGAGGUCCCAAGCGUUGUUCGGAUUCACUGGGCGUAAAGGGUGCGUAGGCGGUCAGGUAAGUCUGAAGUGAAAGCUCCAUGCUCAACUUGGAAAAUGCUUCAGAUACUAUCAGACUAGAGAGCCGGAGAGGAGGCUGGAAUUCUCGGUGUAGCAGUGAAAUGCGUAGAUAUCGAGAGGAACACCAGUGGCGAAAGCGAGUCUCUGGACGGCAUCUGACGCUGAGGCACGAAAGCCAAGGUAGCAAACGGG